UACAUGCAAGUCGAGCGGACCGACGGGAGCUUGCUCCCUUAGGUCAGCGGCGGACGGGUGAGUAACACGUGGGUAACCUGCCUGUAAGACUGGGAUAACUCCGGGAAACCGGGGCUAAUACCGGAUGCUUGAUUGAACCGCAUGGUUCAAUCAUAAAAGGUGGCUUUUAGCUACCACUUGCAGAUGGACCCGCGGCGCAUUAGCUAGUUGGUGAGGUAACGGCUCACCAAGGCGACGAUGCGUAGCCGACCUGAGAGGGUGAUCGGCCACACUGGGACUGAGACACGGCCCAGACUCCUACGGGAGGCAGCAGUAGGGAAUCUUCCGCAAUGGACGAAAGUCUGACGGAGCAACGCCGCGUGAGUGAUGAAGGUUUUCGGAUCGUAAAACUCUGUUGUUAGGGAAGAACAAGUACCGUUCGAAUAGGGCGGUACCUUGACGGUACCUAACCAGAAAGCCACGGCUAACUACGUGCCAGCAGCCGCGGUAAUACGUAGGUGGCAAGCGUUGUCCGGAAUUAUUGGGCGUAAAGCGCGCGCAGGCGGUUUCUUAAGUCUGAUGUGAAAGCCCCCGGCUCAACCGGGGAGGGUCAUUGGAAACUGGGGAACUUGAGUGCAGAAGAGGAGAGUGGAAUUCCACGUGUAGCGGUGAAAUGCGUAGAGAUGUGGAGGAACACCAGUGGCGAAGGCGACUCUCUGGUCUGUAACUGACGCUGAGGCGCGAAAGCGUGGGGAGCGAACAGGAUUAGAUACCCUGGUAGUCCACGCCGUAAACGAUGAGUGCUAAGUGUUAGAGGGUUUCCGCCCUUUAGUGCUGCAGCAAACGCAUUAAGCACUCCGCCUGGGGGAGUACGGUCGCAAGACUGAAACUCAAAGGAAUUGACGGGGGCCCGCACAAGCGGUGGAGCAUGUGGUUUAAUUCGAAGCAACGCGAG
rnacentral:rRNA from 1 species